UACGUAGGGUGCAAGCGUUGCUCGGAAUCAUUGGGCGUAAAGAGCGUGUAGGUGGCUAGAUAAGUCGGGGGUGAAAUCCCAGGGCUCAACCCUGGAACUGCCUUCGAUACUGGACGUCUUGAGUCCGAGAGAGGUGAGUGGAAUUCCGAGUGUAGAGGUGAAAUUCGUAGAUAUUCGGAAGAACACCAGUGGCGAAGGCGGCUCACUGGCUCGGAACUGACGCUGAGGUGCGAAAGCGUGGGGAGCAAACAGG
rnacentral:rRNA from 1 species